UACGUAGGGAGCAAGCGUUGUCCGGAAUCAUUGGGCGUAAAGCGCGCGUAGGCGGCCUCAUAAGUCCGUUGUGAAAGUCAAAGGCUCAACCUUUGAAAGCCGAUGGAUACUGUGAGGCUAGAGUCCGGAAGAGGCGAGUGGAAUUCCUGGUGUAGCGGUGGAAUGCGCAGAUAUCAGGAGGAACACCGGUGGCGAAGGCGGGUCUCUGGGCCGUAACUGACGCUGAGGAGCGAAAGCGUGGGGAGCAAACAGG
rnacentral:rRNA from 1 species